AUAUGUACGUACGUACGUACGUACCUAUUUGUAUUUAUCGUAAAAAAGAGAAAAAAAGAAAAUACGCAUGAAUAAUUCGAUUAAAUCUGAUUAAGGACACGACAAAGAAUUUUUUAGUCGUGAUGUUCGAUAGUCCUACAUCGUUUUGGAUGGAUUCCAUAUUUUCAGAUUUAUUUCUUUUGGUGCAUCCUACUUAGGAUUAUUCAAGUACUACAGGGUGAUGGGUGUUAAAGGGAUGAGUGUGGUGAAAUCGUAGGAACGUAUCACGAUGAAAUCUAAGAAUAUCUGACGAACGAAAUAGUCCUGUUUUGUAAAUCAGUCGAGAUUCAGAGAAUUUGAAGGAAAUACCUGGAGAUUCUCCUCAAGGUUGGAAUAUUUUUCUCAACCAGUAUGCUAAUAACAAACUAAAAGAUUUUUUUUUUUAUCUCUUUCUCUAUCUCUCUCUAUCUCUCUCUAUCUCUCUCCCUCUCUCUCUCUCUUUUCCUUUUUAUUUAUUUAUUUUCUUUUUUUCAAGUAAAUCUGCACGAAGUUCGUGACAAGAGUUUGUUCGAAGGAUAUCCUCUGUUUCUAAGAAUAUCCUUUUCUCAAAUUCUUAUUUUUUUUUAAGUUUGUUUCAAAUCGUUGUAAAAUCUUACCUUUGGAUUGUUUCCAAGAAAUAUAUGAAUGUAUUAAGUAAAAAAGAAUAGAAGAAAUUUUCGUAAUUCCUUCGUUCGUUGUCCUAUGUCCAAUUUAUUCGAACAAUUUCCGUUUUAUUUUUCAAUGUAACUUUUUCAAUCUACAGUUUGUUGUUGUUGUCGGAACAAAAUAUUUACGUGGAAUAAAGUGAAAAUAAUCCAGAUGAAAACGGAAAAGUAUAAAUAUUUUCUUGUAAAGAAGGAAAAAAA